GUCCAUAACAAGCCCAGGCAGCUAUUCAAAUGCAAGUUGCAACCCCAAAUGCAAUGCAAGGCUAGCCUGAUCAAAAAGCCAUUCCGGAGCCCAGGAGAAGAGAGACCCGGGCUCUGGAUUUCAUCCUUCUCUCUUCUUCUUUCUCUUCGGUUCCUGAUUUAGCUGGGAGCUGUUUAUUUAUGGCUGCAAAUGUGUGCGUGCGAGAGAGAGGGAGAAUUGAUCUUUGCCUGGACUUAAAGAUGGAGACGAAGGCGCUGGAGGGAAUUUGGGUUUGUGCAUCUAGCUCAGACCCCAGGCGCCGAAGGGGGCCUUUUGGCACGAAACCCGAGGUUUCUCUUUUUCGCACCCCUCACCUCGCGACCUUGCAGGAAUACACGGGCCCCGAAGCGGCCUGGCUGACCCGCCUGCCCGGGGACGGGUUGCUGAGAAAGGCUUCAUGGAGGGAGCCAUCCCCGUCCCUUUCUUUAAAAUGAGCGCAAUAAAAGGGGGCAAAUCCUCAAGCGCGAACCUGAUCGCUUGUCACAGAAGCAACUUGCCAUGAAAUCCGCUAAUGCGCCGCGACUCGCCCACCAGGAUAGGCAAACCCCAGCGUUGGUGUAACCAGCGCAAGCGCGCGUCCUAUUCCUCAAAUGCUCGAUCUACCGGCCACACUACAGCCCACAGUGCUUUCUGGAAACCCCAUUUUCCUGAUUGCAGCCCACACUCUGGAACCUCGCAACCCAUCCGGGGUAAGGAGUCAGAUCUGGGCCAAGUAGUGGGUCGGACACAGACACAGAUACACACACACACACACACACACACACACACACACACACACACGGAGGUGGGGGUGGGGGGAGAAAGAGAGAGAGAGAGAAAGGCAGUGCUUCGUUGGAUGAGGAUCCAGGGUGGCUGGAUAGAGAUCUGAAAGGCCCUAGCUGGCAGGAGUCUUGCAGCCCUUAAAGCAGCUUAAUCCUGAUAGUUAUUUUGAGAAACAAGACCUGGAACCUAGGUUUGAGCUUAACAGGGCAGUGGCAAGGAAUAAAUGUCCCAGCAUUUAUUUGGAAUGAGGGACA
rnacentral:lncRNA from 1 species